GCGGAGGGGGCACACCCGUUCCCAUCCCGAACACGGCAGUUAAGCCCUCCAGCGCCGAUGGUACUGGGACUCCCGGGAGAGUAGGUCACCGCCGGAA
rnacentral:rRNA from 1 species